rnacentral:rRNA from 1 species
UACUAUUCUUAGAUAAAUAAUAUAGACCCUAAAUUAGUAGUAGUUAUUUACUUAAAAGUUAAAAAAUUUGGCGGUAGUUUAAUCUUUCCAGAGGAACUUGUUUUUUAAUCGAUACUCCGCGAAAUAUCUUGCUUGUUAAAGUAAAGUUUGUAUACCAUCAUUAUCAGGUAAUUUUAAAAAAAUUAAUUACUAAGAAUAAUAAUUUUAUAAAAAUUAGAUCAAGGUGCAGCUUAUGAAUAAGUUAAAAUGAGUUACAAUAAAGUUUUUUAGUAUGGACAAAUAGAUGAAAUUUUUAUUUAGAAGGUGGAUUUGGUUGUAUUAAAGGUUUAAUAUGCCUUUAAGAUGAAAGCUCUAAAUUAUGUACAUAU